GACGAACGCUGGCGGCGUGCUUAACACAUGCCAGUCGAACGGAAAGGCCCUGCUUUUGUGGGGUGCUCGAGUGACGAACGGGUGAGUAACACGUGAGUAACCUGCCCUUGACUUUGGGAUAACUUCAGGAAACUGGGGCUAAUACCGGAUAGGAGCUCCUGCUGCAUGGUGGGGGUUGGAAAGUUUCGGCGGUUGGGGAUGGACUCGCGGCUUAUCAGCUUGUUGGUGGGGUAGUGGCUUACCAAGGCUUUGACGGGUAGCCGGACUGAGAGGGUGACCGGCCACAUUGGGACUGAGAUACGGCCCAGACUCCUACGGGAGGCAGCAGUGGGGAAUAUUGCACAAUGGGCGGAAGCCUGAUGCAGCAACGCCGCGUGCGGGAUGACGGCCUUCGGGUUGUAAACCGCUUUCGCCUGUGACGAAGCGUGAGUGACGGUAAUGGGUAAAGAAGCACCGGCUAACUACGUG
rnacentral:rRNA from 1 species